CAGUAGCCGCGGUAAUACGUAGGGUGCAAGCGUUAAUCGGAAUUACUGGGCGUAAAGUGUGCGCAGGCGGUCCGCUAAGACAGAUGUGAAAUCCCCGGGCUUAACCUGGGAACUGCAUUUGUGACUGGCGGGCUAGAGUAUGGCAGAGGGGGGUAGAAUUCCACGUGUAGCAGUGAAAUGCGUAGAGAUUUGGAGGAAUACCGAUGGCGAAGGCAGCCCCCUGGGCCAAUACUGACGCUCAUGCACGAAAGCGUGGGGAGCAAACAGGAUUAGAUACCCCUGUAGUCCCUGUCUCUUAUAC
rnacentral:rRNA from 1 species